rnacentral:lncRNA from 1 species
AGGCGCGGGGCUGCCGCCGCUGUAGGAGGCGCGAGCAGCCUGGCUUACCCGGGCGUGUGGAGUUGCCGCGGUACCGUACUAUUCCUCAUUGCAAAAUCUUUAUGACACUUAAGAAAAGAAUCACCAGCCUGGGCAACCUGGGGAGGCCCCGUCUCUACAAAAAAAUUAAAAAAUUAGCCGAGUGUGGUGGCGCGCGGCCGUGGUCCCAGCUACUCUGGAGGCUGAGGCCCAGGAGUUCGAGGCCGCAGUGAGCUAUGAACGUGCCACUGCACUCCAGCCUGGGCCACAGAGCAAGACCCCGUUUCAAAUAAAAGAAAAGAAGUUACCGAAAUACAGAUGUGCAAUUUUUAUUCCUUAGCCUAGUCUCAUCUCUGCUGCAUGUGACUGUUGUUCACAUAUUAAUUCCACCACAAUUUAAGUUCCUCCUGUGUGCCAGGGAAGCGCCCUUAACAGAAGCUGGGGAAACAACCAGGAACAAGACAGAUGCUGUGCCUGCCCUCAUGGGGAUUACUUUCUAGUUGAGAAAGGAGAUACUAAAUGGAGAAGGAAAAUAAGCUGCUGAGAAAUUAAAGGAAGACAGGUGACCUUUUGAUUUGAGAUGUCAAGAAAGUGCCCUCUGAAGAGGUUCGGUAAACUGAGAGGAAGCCGGCUCUGGAGAUACAAGGAAAGAACAGCCAACAGAAGGAUCUACAUGUGAGCAAGCAACAAGGAAGGAGCAGAAUGUGGUGCCUUGAAGAAAAGGAGAAAGUGGGUCAUGGGAAGCACGGAGGAUGAGAUCAACGAGGCCAGGAGAGUCCCCAUCAUGCACAGACUCUCUGGGGCCCUGUGAGGGAUACGGAGUUUAUUCCAAGUGUAAUGGGAAACUAGUGAAGAGUUUUCAACACGUGAGUGACAGGAUCUCGUUUCGUAGCAUCAUCGCCCUGCUUGCUGCUGUGUAUACAUGGAACUUUUGAGAAACAAUUUAAAAGGAUGCAGAGAGAAGAGUUGCUUUUGCAAUGAGCAGGUUCUCUUCCCUGCUGAGUUGUGAAGAAGGCACCUGCUUCCUCUUACACCGUGAUUGUUAAGUUUCCUGAGGCCUCCCCAGCCUUGCAGAACUGAGCAUGAAAAUACCCCAUCCAGCAGAUGAAGCACAUUCUCAUGCUCAUCCUGCAGAAUUUCUGGGUGACUGGUGGCAUCUCCGGCGGUGAUACGAGGAUGCGGGCUGAUGGAGAGGACAGCGAUACAUCUCAGCAGCUUGACACAUCACUGCCUCCUUCCCUCUCCCACAUCCCUGGAAAAGCUUAAAGUCUGCAGAUUACCAGAUGGGACCCCAGGUUAAAUUCCUGCAUACUCCCUGGGUGUGUAUAGCUGCACCAUUUGGUGCAAGAAUGACUCUAGCAAAGUAGUUUCAGUGAGGUUUCUUGUGCCAAGCCCUAUUUUACUACUGUUGCCAGAAAAGUAAUGUGAUGACUGACUUCAUAAAGAGGCAUUGAGAUUAGAGUUGGGGCUACUUAUAUGUUCUUUGUCCUGAACUUUUUUUUUUAAUUAUUUUUUAAUUUUUUUUUGAGAUGGAGUCUUGCUCUGUCACCCAGGCUGGAGUGAGUGGCACAAUCUCAGCUCACUGCAAGCUCCGCCUCCUGGGUUCACGCCAUUCUCCUGCCUCAGCCUCCCAAGUAGCUGGGACUACAGGUGCCGCCACCUUGCCCGGCUAGUUUUUUUUUGUAUUUUUUUUUUAGCAGAGACGGGGUUUCACCGUGUUAGCCAGGAUGGUCUCGAUCUCCUGACCUCGUGAUCCACCCAUCUCGGCCUCCCAAAGUGCUGGGAUUACAGGCUUGAGCCACCGCGUCCAGCCUUGGUUUCUUUUAAAUCAUUAAAACCUAAUUUGAGGGGAAAGCAUCCUUUAUUCUCAAGAAAUGAAAAGAUGAAAUCAGUCGAGGAGAAUUAUAAGCCUCCCCUCCUUCUGUAUUUACCUCUAGCCUUUUCAGAGGAAGGAACCCUCUGAUAAAGUCGCGUGUGGGAUGAGAUGAACAUUCCCCGACAUUCUCGUCACCAGUGUUUAUACCUUUUUAAAAACCAUGUAACUCCUUAUUGCCAGCUGAGCUUUAGAGAGCAGGAGUCUCACUGUGAAGUCGCCCUGGAGAGGCUCCUGCGAGAUUCUUUUGAACACAGAAAAAAAAAAAACCAGGUAUGUGUUUCUCCAGAAUGUCUCCAGUUUUCCAUCAGUGCUUUUGGUUUUUGUUCAGAGAACUUGUUAGUACAGUUCUGUAUUUUCUUUUGAAUGAAUUCAAAGAAGAGCAGACAUUACUGAAUCAUUUCAUUGAUGGAAAUGUACCCAGAAGAGGCGUGUGGCCGAAGAGCCAGUGACCGUGACAACUUUGAGGAGAAGUAGCAUCUGUAAAGAUAAUACAUAUGUAAGAGGAAUUUCAAGCAUUAAACAAUGUCUUCCUACAUGAAUAAUGAAUGAAUAAGGAUACGAUUAUGGAACUACUUUUGAUGCAAUAAUUAAGGCAGAAUAAAUGGUUUCUUCCUCGUGCUGUAGAA